UUAACAGCAGUUGAUCCAGUGGGUGGCCUGGCCUGGUGGUCAAGGGAGUCGGCGUGCUACGUACGGUUCCUGCCCUGACCGUGUUCGUGGCCUGGGCAGCUGGCCCAUCGUAAUAGAGAGUGAUCAAGGCCCCCAUUUCUAGGCUGGGAUGUGCAGCGGGGGGCAACUCCGGGACGGAUUCAGUGAGAGCCGAACAUCCCACACCACCCACCGGCUGCAGGCAUGAGAGAGAGAGAGGCCUGCUUAAGCAGGGACUUAGGACUGCAGUUACCCGCCCUCUAAGAAGGGAGGACACAGUGUCUGUGGGCAGUUACGUGAGCUCUGACUGAGCCACCCUGGCCAAGGGGAACCACCUCCUGUGGAGGCUUUGCUGCAUCACAGCAGUCCCAGUAUAGGUCCAGGUGACAACAGAGGAUGUUGCACUUAAAUCUGGGUUUGGGAAGCAAGGGAAUAUUCUUUUGCCUGCCCUGAAUGAAUUGAAUAGGGGGCACACUGUGGAUUGCACAUGGCCCCAGACAAUAAAGGCCUCACACCUUUGUGGGUGGCCCUAUCAGCCCCAUGGGGAAAAGAUUUGGAGUGUGACCUCCUUGUAACACUCUGGGUAACUAGUAAAUGUUCCCCUCUCCCCCGCUGGUUACAUGUGACUUGGCCAGGUCCUGCAGAUGGGACACAGAUUUUAAAGGGCACUUUUGUUAUUUCCCUUCAGCCAAUUAUGAGUUCCCUAGUGAUGGUGCAUCCAGAGCCUGCUCAAGUUCAGGGCCAAGCUGUGCGGGUGUGGUAUCACUGCUCGGGGACGCUGCCACAGACGGCCACAGCGCUUUCCUGGGACUCAAUGCUGGUGUACAAUCUUCUGGAUGGACGUGAUUUACCUGUACUAGUGCCCCUAACAGUUCUAGCCAACACCAUCGUGGACUGGGCACACAGCUACCCCAGCGUAGUGAACACCUCUGCAUUCUGGAUGUGCACAGAAGUGCCUGUGAGUUCAGGCUGCUGGACAGCCCUGGUGAACCCAGACUGCUUCCUGGACAAUUGGACAUGACUGGGAAGGACUUCUAUUGCCACCUCAAUAUGGGAUGAAACUGGCAAUAGUUUUUAGUAAUCCUAGGUGAUGGGGCUUAUUUUCUGCUUAUAUGAUGUUGUAGGGCGGGGGCUCUGGCUCAGCGGUAGAGCGCUUGCCUAGCAUGUGCGAAGCCCUGGGUUCAAUCCUCAGCACCACAUAAAAAAAAUAAAGAAAUAAAAUAAAGGUAUUGUCUCCAACUACAGCUAAAAAAAAAAACAUAUGUUGUUGCAGCUUGUAUUGUUGUGGCCUGUGGAUGCAGAGUUCUACACUCCUGACUAAGAGAUAUUGUGGAAGACAAAAAUGCAUAGAUUGUACAGUGAGAAGUCCUAAAGGGGUGGAUUGUAGGGCAGGCCCCAAAUGGCUUUGGCCAGGCACCCUCACUAAGGCUUCCACUGGGUUGCUUUUAGUACGUAGCCAAGGUUAUGAACACCCUGAUUCAGUGUAGGUGCUCAAGGUCAUAAACAAUUUUUUUAUGAACAUGCGCCCACUUAAUAACCUGUUGGUAGUGUGCCUUCUUUGGCCCACUUAUAUUUAAAAAAAAAAGGCUUAUGAAAAUGGCUCAGGGGCUUAAUGGAGCAGCUGGGGCUAAAUGGAACUGGCUGGGGCUG
rnacentral:lncRNA from 1 species